AGCUCUCCGCCGGCUCCUCAAGUUACCCCUCCAAAACCUGGCAAGAUGGAGCUCUGGCCAGGGCCGGGGGGAAGCUGGAGUCGCCUCAGACGAGGAAACGGAAGCUCAGAGAAGAGAAAUGAGUUGGCCAAGCUCACCCAGUGGUACUGGAGGUCCCAGCUGGAAGCAGGGCCUCGGAGGCCCCGAGUCCCAGCUGCCCCACCCCUGAGACUGAUAAGGAGUCUUCUUCCUGGCAAGCCGUUAGCUGGAAGUGCUCCGGGCAGGGAGCCAGGCCUGGGGCUGGGAAUCCCCGCAGCCUGUCUGAAUGGGGGUCGCCCACAGAGGGCUGCCCAAGGCCCCUUCCAGCACCCCGGUCUGUCUCUCCUUGUCAAGUGGACCAGCCUCACCCCUCUCUUCUGCUAAUCUGGGAGCCAGGCUUGCUGGAGAGACUGAGGAGAGAUUAAAUGAGGGACAGAUUUGCUUGCAGGACACACGUGUGCUUAUUACAGCCUGGGCCCUGGCGCUGGCCCUCAGAAGGCGGAGUGGCCUGGAGGAGCGUCUCAUGUGGGGAUAUUAUCUUAUCCAAAGUGCACCCCAGGGACCUACAUUUAUUUCCUGCUGCUGAUAACUCCACAAGAGCCAGUCAGCCAGCCGGCGGGGUCAGCACGCCUUUCGCCAGCUCUAAACUGCAU